rnacentral:rRNA from 1 species
AGCGGGUGAGUAGGUUGCUACUUUUGCCGGCGAGCGGCGGACGGGUGAGUAAUGCCUGGGGAUCUGCCCAGUCGAGGGGGAUAACUACUGGAAACGGUAGCUAAUACCGCAUACGCCCUACGGGGGAAAGCAGGGGACCUUCGGGCCUUGCGCGAUUGGAUGAACCCAGGUGGGAUUAGCUAGUUGGUGAGGUAAUGGCUCACCAAGGCGACGAUCCCUAGCUGGUCUGAGAGGAUGAUCAGCCACACUGGAACUGAGACACGGUCCAGACUCCUACGGGAGGCAGCAGUGGGGAAUAUUGCACAAUGGGGGAAACCCUGAUGCAGCCAUGCCGCGUGUGUGAAGAAGGCCUUCGGGUUGUAAAGCACUUUCAGCGAGGAGGAAAGGUUGGUAGCUAAUAACUGCCAGCUGUGACGUUACUCGCAGAAGAAGCACCGGCUAACUCCGUGCCAGCAGCCGCGGUAAUACGGAGGGUGCAAGCGUUAAUCGGAAUUACUGGGCGUAAAGCGCACGCAGGCGGUUGGAUAAGUUAGAUGUGAAAGCCCCGGGCUCAACCUGGGAAUUGCAUUUAAAACUGUCCGGCUAGAGUCUUGUAGAGGGGGGUAGAAUUCCAGGUGUAGCGGUGAAAUGCGUAGAGAUCUGGAGGAAUACCGGUGGCGAAGGCGGCCCCCUGGACAAAGACUGACGCUCAGGUGCGAAAGCGUGGGGAGCAAACAGGAUUAUAUACCCUGGUAGUCCACGCCGUAAACGAUGUCGAUUUGGAGGCUGUGUCCUUGAAACGUGGCUUCCGGAGCUAACGCGUUAAAUCGACCGCCUGGGGAGUACGGCCGCAAGGUUAAAACUCAAAUGAAUUGACGGGGGCCCGCCCCAAGCGGUGGAGCAUGUGGGUUUAAUUCCAUGCAACGCGAAGAACCUUACCUGGCCUUGACAUGUCUGGAAUCCUGUAAAAAAUACGGGAAUUGCCUUCCGGGAAUCAAAACACAGGUGCUGCAUGGGCUGUCGUCAGCCUCCUGUCCUGGAAAUGUUGGGUUUAAUUCCCCCCAAACAAGCUCUAACCCCUUGCCCUUUUGUUGCCAGGCACCAAAAAUGGUUGCCAACUUCAAGGGAAAACUGCCC